rnacentral:rRNA from 1 species
AGUACAGCAAGUUACUGGCUGCCCCUCGCCGCCGACACCUGUCAAGUCAGGAGGAAGCACCAAGGGGUCACCGGCGAGGAUCCCAUGCCCUCCGUUGCAACCUUUCGUCGACAGCAAGCUGAAUCUUCUUUGGUGACUCCUCAAAAGAGUUCAAUUUGCGCCUGCACAAUGGGACGCAACAUCUCCAAGUUUCUCAGGGAGUGGGCACUCUACCAUAGUGCGAUUGGGGUGGAUCAGUUCUUUAUCUAUGAUAAUGGCAGCGAGGACAACUUGGCAGGCCUAGUGGCGCAGCUCAUAUCCUCCGGGCUCAACAUCACAACCGUGCCAUGGCCUUGGACCAAGGUCCAAGAAGCUGGUCUGUCUCAUUGCGCGGCCACACAGCAAGCUUCGUGCCAAUGGAUGGCUGUCAUAGAUGUCGAUGAAUUCAUCUUCUCAACAAGCUGGGCAGGAUUAGAGAAGCCAUCAAAAUCUUUGCUAGAGCCCGCUAUUUCUGUUGAUGAUAGCGUUGGCCAAAUAUACCUUGCUUGUUAUGAUUUUGCCCCCUCGGGCCAAACAGCACAUCCACCGGAGGGGGUCUGCCAGGGCUACACUUGCCGGCUGAAGAGCCCGCAGCGGCACAAAUCCUUGGUCCGUCUCGACGCCGUGGAACCAUCCUUCAUGAAUGUGGUCCAUCAUUUUAAGCUCAAGCCUGCUUUCAAAAGCAUCUGGACUGCGUUCGCACGUGUUAACCACUACAAAUACCAAGCUUGGCCGGAGUUCAAAGUCAAGUUCAAGAGGCGUGUGUCCGCUUACGUGGCUGAUUGGAAAGAUCCGAUCAACCUCGACUCAAAGGACCGGGCUCCUGGCUUAGGAGUUAAUGACGUCGAACCAGAAGGCUGGGCCCAAAAAUACUGCAAGGUUAAAGACAAUAUCCUUAAGCUGUUGACUGCAAGAUGGUUCGGUGUCGGAUUUGGGAACCCUCAUUAG